UGUCCCCUACGGGACGCAGCAGUGGGGAAUAUUGCACAAUGGGGGAAACCCUGAUGCAGCGACGCCGCGUGAGUGAGGAAGUAUUUCGGUAUGUAAAGCUCUAUCAGCAGGGAAGAAAAUGACGGUACCUGACUAAGAAGCCCCGGCUAACUACGUGCCAGCAGCCGCGGUAAUACGUAGGGGGCAAGCGUUAUCCGGAUUUACUGGGUGUAAAGGGAGCGUAGACGGCAUAGCAAGUCUGAAGUGAAAGCCCGUGGCUCAACCGCGGAACUGCUUUGGAAACUGUUAAGCUGGAGUACUGGAGG
rnacentral:rRNA from 1 species